AUUUUUACAAUGAAGAGUUUGAUCCUGGCUCAGGAUGAACGCUAGCUACAGGCUUAACACAUGCAAGUCGAGGGGCAGCAUGGUCUUAGCUUGCUAAGACUGAUGGCGACCGGCGCACGGGUGAGUAACACGUAUCCAACCUGCCUUAUACUCCCGGACAGCCUUCUGAAAGGAAGAUUAAUACGGGAUGGUAUCACGAGCCAGCAUUUUCUCGUGAUUAAAGAACUUCGGUAUAAGAUGGGGAUGCGUUCCAUUAGAUAGUAGGCGGGGUAACGGCCCACCUAGUCGACGAUGGAUAGGGGUUCUGAGAGGAAGGUCCCCCACAUUGGAACUGAGACACGGUCCAAACUCCUACGGGAGGCAGCAGUGAGGAAUAUUGGUCAAUGGGCGCGAGCCUGAACCAGCCAAGUAGCGUGAAGGAUGACUGCCCUACGGGUUGUAAACUUCUUUUAUAAAGGAAUAAAGUGAGGCACGUGUGCCUUUUUGUAUGUACUUUAUGAAUAAGGAUCGGCUAACUCCGUGCCAGCAGCCGCGGUAAUACGGAGGAUCCGAGCGUUAUCCGGAUUUAUUGGGUUUAAAGGGAGCGUAGAUGGGUUGUUAAGUCAGUUGUGAAAGUUUGCGGCUCAACCGUAAAAUUGCAAUUGAUACUGGCAGCCUUGAGUACAGUUGAGGUAGGCGGAAUUCGUGGUGUAGCGGUGAAAUGCUUAGAUAUCACGAAGAACUCCGAUUGCGAAGGCAGCCUACUAAACUGCCACUGACAUUGAUGCUCGAAAGUGUGGGUAUCAAACAGGAUUAGAUACCCUGGUAGUCCACACGGUAAACGAUGAAUACUCGCUGUUUGCGAUAUACUGCAAGCGGCCAAGCGAAAGCGUUAAGUAUUCCACCUGGGGAGUACGCCGGCAACGGUGAAACUCAAAGGAAUUGACGGGGGCCCGCACAAGCGGAGGAACAUGUGGUUUAAUUCGAUGAUACGCGAGGAACCUUACCCGGGCUUGAAUUGCACUCGAAUAUAGCGGAAACGUUAUAGCUAGCAAUAGCGAGUGUGAAGGUGCUGCAUGGUUGUCGUCAGCUCGUGCCGUGAGGUGUCGGCUUAAGUGCCAUAACGAGCGCAACCCUUGUCUAUAGUUACUAACAGGUCAUGCUGAGGACUCUAUGGAGACUGCCAUCGUAAGAUGUGAGGAAGGUGGGGAUGACGUCAAAUCAGCACGGCCCUUACGUCCGGGGCCACACACGUGUUACAAUGGGGGGUACAGAGGGCCGCUACCACGCAAGUGGAUGCCAAUCCCGAAAGCCUCUCUCAGUUCGGACUGGAGUCUGCAACCCGACUCCACGAAGCUGGAUUCGCUAGUAAUCGCGCAUCAGCCAUGGCGCGGUGAAUACGUUCCCGGGCCUUGUACACACCGCCCGUCAAGCCAUGGGAGCCGGGGGUACCUGAAGUGCGUAACCGCAAGGAGCGCCCUAGGGUAAAACUGGUGACUGGGGCUAAGUCGUAACAAGGUAGCCGUACCGGAAGGUGCGGCUGGAACACCUCCUUUCU
rnacentral:rRNA from 1 species